AAGGAAGGGAGGGAGGGGAAGGAAAGGAGGGAGGGAGGGAGGGAGGGAGGGUUCAUUCACAUGGGUGAAGUGUUCUGACAUCAGAUCUUGACUUUUGCACAGGUUUUAAUGAGAAGACAAUGCUUUUUGUCCCUGAGCUUCUCUUAUUCAAGUGCAGAACAGAAAAAGGAGAGAGAAAGUUUGAUGCAGGGAUCAGGCCUCCUCAGCUGCUGAUGCAUCAUGAUAGAAGCACCGUGGCUUCUCAAGGACUGUAGGUUACAGAAGGCUCUGGUCUAGACUGAGUCAGGCCUGGUGGCUGGCACACAGAGUCUACCCGGUGUCUGCAAGAGCAGCCAAUUGGGAGACGUAAGUAGAACUUUGUAUAUUAAAUCUUUUGAAAUGAACCCUUAUGAGGAAAAUAACUCACAGAAGCCAAAAGAUGAGCGACCAUGUUUUUUCAGCUGUGUUUGUUAUCUAUAGGGCUGAUUAGUGAGCCAGAGACACCCAGCGCUAACUCUCAGACUGGGAGUUAAAGGAAGGGGAAGUUUAGAGGAGCAGCAUAUCUUCCAUAAUCCCGUGGCCAUAUUCAUUUUAUUUGGCUCAGAAAUUGGGGUUUAAUUACUUUGUGUUUACAUGCUGCACUAAUAUUGCCAUCAUCAACAAAGGCAAGGUCAACGAAGGAGGAUCUCCUCCCCCACUCCAGAGCUCCUUGGCACCGGCAUGAUUUUCCUGAUGGUGAAAGACACAUUUAAAUAGUAAUUGAUAAGGGUUUUAUUGUUUCCAAGUACAGUCAAUGAGUACAGCAUGGGAGCUAACCCUUGCAAGUCUCCUGAAUUCAAAUCACUGUCUCCUCACUUGACUCCAGGUAUCCAGUUAGAUUAUGAUGACUUACUGGUGGCAUGAAAGCUUACUUUUCUCCUCCCUCCAACACUCCUAUUUGUAUAGAGAUUUCCACUGGAAAUUUCCAGAGAUCUCUACCCGGGAAUAUUGUGCUUGUCCUGCCCUAUACUUUCCUGAUUUGAAACAGUCACAAUAAAUCUCAAUUUUACUUUAUACUUAUUAUAAGAAAUUCAUCUGCUGAGCCCAGAGAACCUCAGGCUGAAAGACACCACUAAUGUAACAAGGCAAAAUUCAAAUUUAAAAAAGAAUACACCAAGGCUAAGUGGCAUUAAAGUAUUUGUGGGUUUUGCUUUCCAUGUCAUACUGGUCAUUUUGUAAAAGACCCAAUAGGCCCCAGCCCAAGCAUGUGCACUAGUGGUGAACGGACCAGAAGGGACACCUGGAAGGUUGCAUUUGCAAGAAGCUGCACUACCUGGCAGGGAGCAGAAGAAAUAAUCCAGCCACACACCGAUGGCUGAGGGCUCCUGGGGAAUCAAAGAGAGAAAGCUUCCAGUGGGCAAAUAACUUGCACAUUCCAUGUCGAUUUUGUAUAUCCCUUCCUUCCCAAAACGACUGACAGCAGAUCUCUGGUCCUUGUGUGAGCAUCUUGAUGCAAGGAUUCAGCUUGUUUUAUUGCAUGUAGACUGACAUAGCCCUAAUCCACCUCUUAACACGAGUCACAAAGAAACGCAUUUCAGCAAAAUACAGGAAACAAAGGGUGGCUUUAAGACAAUUAUAUCAUAGUUACCAUUGAGCUGCUGCUGCUUUUUUCCAUCUGAAACAUAAAGGCCUUCCCACAGGUACACUGAGAAAUAUAAAGGAACAUCAUUAACUUGGGUUCAACCCAUUUGAUCCUAAAAGUUUAGGCAAGAUUAACAUGUGCAUUCUGAGCAAUUCUCUUGCUUGAUUAAAAACUUGGAGUUGAACAACUAAAACCAAACUAAGAAUUACUGUAAUUUUUAUCUGAUAAUCUUAUGUAAUUGACAAAUCAUGAUAUAAUCACCCUAAUUUAAAUAUGAAUACUUCCUAUAAAUGCCUUUUUCUUGCUUCUGGAGUUACCUAGAAGAAGUGGCAUUGUGUCUGGGGAAAUUGGUCUAGUUAGGAGGGGUAAACAGGGUUUAAGAUUCCUGGGGUCUUGAAAUAUCCCAACCUGUUAGCAUUAUCCAUACUUUCAGUGAAGAAUGAAAUGGAUAUAAAUGUAUUCAAACAAAUUUAGAACUUAAUUGGCAAAAGGACCCCUUAGAUGGGUUAGUACGGUAGUCUCACAGUGUGCGAGAAGUGCUGAUCAUAUUAUCUUAGAGCUGCAAGUUGUCCCUGUUGAUCACAUUUCAUUGCCUUCUCUCUAAUUUUUGGAGUCUAACAAAUGGCACUUUAUACGUCUACAGACUAGGGUUAUCUGACCCAUCUUUCAGAUCAGAUUGUACUGGUAAAGAGUCUGAUUUCCUAGGUUUUCAACAUAUCAAUGUUAGACUCACCCUUUUUGGGUAAAACGUUCACUAAUUUUUUUUUUUUUUAAGAAUCAACAACAAAUGAUGCUUGCUACAAAUUCCCAAAGUCUACUUGUUUUUGUAAAUGUCAUCUGGUGACAGGCUAGAGUGAAACCCUCUUCCGUUUUUUUAACUACCUUAAUUAAGCUUUUCUAACCCUCUUCCCUGAGACAGGUAAACUUGGUGAUUUUAUUAUUUUGGGAAUAUAGUAAGCACAACGACCCAUGAGUGAUCGCAGAGUGAGCAUAACCCCUGAAGAGCCCAAAUUCAGCCCAGGUGCCUCUGCCCAUUUACUGCCCAGAACUGAGCAUGAGCCCAUUCACAGGGCCACUUAGGAUUGGGGUCCACCCAGGAAGAGGAAGCCAGCUGCUCAUGCUGCCACCUUCCCGUUGGCUGCUGUGUAUAUCUCUCCAUGACUGUGUUCAGCAUGACUGCACUCAAAGGACCCAAUUAAUUCACUUCCAUCACUACUCGUAGAAGCCCUUAGAGGCAGCUUUAAUAGCUAGGAUUUAGGCUCGUUUUAUAGAUUUCGCACACAUGGAUUAUAAAAUGGAUGAAAAGCAGCUAGAUACACACACACACACAUAUAUAUAUAGUGUGCUUUAUAUCCUAUAUAUGUGUGUGUAUACAUAUAUACAGUGUGUGUGUGCUUUAUUUCUGAGGCAGGAUGUUUAUAUUCAGUAGUCACAGAUUUCUGUAUUUCUUAAAGUGAGAUCAUUUUAUAGGGGCAUCAGUUAAAAUGCUUUCCCCAUAUAAAAGCAAGUUUACACAUUAAAUAUCUCUAUUUUAUAGCGAAGUUAUUAAUAUAUGCCAUCAAACUCUAUCCCAUCUGUUUUCAGUCAAACUGCAUUACUUCAGUAACUGUAAAAUACUGGUGAAGUCUUAUCUUAUGUUUUUGAAAUCUGAUUUAAGCAAAUCUCAUAUAAACAAGUUUUCAGAAGAGAGAUCAAUACAGAUACUCCCAUGAACACUGAAAAUUGUUCCUUUAUUUACAACUUGAUUUCAUUGACAGUAAAGAUUUCCACCGUUUAUCGGAAACUCAUUAAUUACAUAAAGGUAUGCAUUUCUCAUAUAUACCUUACUGGUCAAUGGUAUAAGGCAAGCUCUUAAAGCCUAGCCAAAACCUUUAAGAAUACAGACACUCCUCAAUUUAGGACAAACACAUCAUAAGCUGAAAAUAUCCUAAGUCAAAAUGCACUUAAUACACCUAACCUAACAAACAUCAGGGCUUAGCCUAGCCUGCCUUAAAUGUGCUCAGAACAUUACAGUUCGGCAAAACCACAAAGCCUAUUUUAUGAUAAAGUGUUCAGUAUCUCAUAUAACUUACUGAAUACUGUCCUGAAAGUGAAAAACAAUGGUUGGAUAGUGAUAUGGUUUGGCUGUGUCCCCACCCAAAUCUCAUCUUGAAUUGUAGCUCCCAUAAUUCCCUCAUUUGUGGGAGCCACCCAGUGGGAGUUAAUUGAAUCAUGAAAGCAGUUUCCCCCAUACUGUCCUCAUGGUAGUGCUAAGGGGACACCCCUUUGCUUGGCUGUCACACUUCUCUUGUCUGCCACUAUGUGAGAUGUGCCUUUCACCUUCUGCCAUGAUUCUGAGGCCCCCCCCAGCCACAUGGAACCGUGAGUCCAUUAAACCUCUUCUUUUGUAAAUUGCCCAGUCUCAGGUAUAUCUUUAUCAACAUCAUGAAAACGGACUAAUACAGAUGGGUACUCGAAGAACGGUUUCUACUGAAUACCUAUCAUUUUCACGCCAUCAUAAAGUCAAACAAAUCUUUAAGUUGAACCAUCAUAAGCUGGGAACCGUUUGUAAUUCCAGCAAUUCACUGUGACUGACUGCAGUUGCCAGUCCUUUUUGAUUGUAAAUGAAUACUCCCCUCCACACCUUUGCCAUGAAUUAAAUAAGGUAACAGCAGGGCCCACACCACUCCUAGCAGUUCAACCUAACUAACCACUUAAGUCUCAGACCUAUCAUAUCUAGGUGAACUGACCCAGAAAGUAGUCACUAAAUAUGGUAUAACUCUGAAGAAAAUAAAAUCAGUGAAAAUUUCAACUUUUCAACAGCUAAACUAGAUCGAAGAAAGAAAAAGGGAUGUGCACUUUAGAACUAGAUAUGGCACAGAUUCCCAUGAAUGCUUAACCCUUAGUGCAUGUAUAUAGAAUUCUAUUUACAAAAGCCAACAUGGUAUUCAGUAUACAGGUUCUUCCAGGAGUCCAUAGCCCCACUCUGAUAUAUACUAUUCCAAAGUGAAAAAGCAUAGCAUGAAAGAUUUUAAUUGUUUUAUUUUGUGUCACAGCAGAUUUGGAUUUAUUGUAGCUUCUCUAUUGGAUUUGGAAAGGCGAGGGUUAAAACCCGGGUUUCCAGGAUGGAGCCGGAGCUGCUGCCCCCUGUACCUAGGCAAGAUGAUCUCCGCAGACCUUCUUGCAGCCCUGUAAUUCAGGCCUCUUCAGCCACUUCUGGUUUCAGAACAUCAGUUUGUGUAUUUAUUUGUACUUUCCCUUAUUUUACAUGUUAGUUUUAGCGAUACAUUCUCUCUUCACACUUUCAUGUUUUGUUUGAAAUUUUUAUCAUGUGUAUUCAGCUCCUUUAUUUUUAGUCUUUCUUCUUUAAUAGUGAAGGCAUUUCUGCCAAUACAGAGUUUUUCCCUGAGUUGAGCUUUUGGGGAUUCCAUAGGUUUUAAAAUAAAAUAUUCCUUUCUUAUAUGUUUCUAAAUUGUUUUAAAUUUCAGUUUUAAUAUUCUCUUUGACCCACGGGUUAUAUAGAAGCAUGUUUAUGAAUUUCCAAAUAAUAAAGAAUAUUCUCAGCCAUAUUAUUAGUUUAGUUUAGUUUUGGAUUGCAGUAAAAUAAUGUGACUUGAAAGAUCUCUAAUUUAAAAUUUUUAAAAAGUGUUCCCAUGUCCAUAGAUAUGAUCAUAUUUUAUAAAUGUUUCCCAGGAAAGAAAAACCUGAGCUUGUCAGAGGCACACAGAAACAAAGACUGUAGCCUUUGUUCUAGAGACUCACUGCCCAGGUUCAAAUCUUGCCUUUACCCCUUUCCCAUUCCACAGUUCCCCUGGACAAAAUAUAGACUUUUGCCGAACUUCAUUUUCCAUCUUUAAAAUGGAAGCAUGGAAACAAUGGCCGUGUCUCCUCUUAGUGUUGCCGUGAGGAUGACUAAGAUUAUGUGUAUGGGAAUGCCUCCAGUGGUCCCUGGCAUGCAGCAGGCACUCAGCAGGAAAAGAAAAAAAAAAAAAAAAAAGGUGUGGUUCUGUCAGUCAGAACAGACCUGGCCUUAAAUUCUAGAUCUGCCACAUCCCGGCUGCCCUUGGAAGUUACUUUCUAUUCUGAGCUUCCUGAUGGUGCGCAGUGGAGAGAAAGCGGAAGUGGCUGUGGGGGAUUCAGAUUGACGUGCGUGGGAACCACAAGACCACUGCCUGGCGUAGAGCAAAUGCCCGCAAACGACUGGCUCCUGGUGUUUUUAUGAGGACUAUAAAAUGAGAAAACGUAAAAUGGCUCGCUAAUGAUCUUUUCGCCUAACUGACUAUUCCUCAGGGACUGGCCAGGACAAAGGAACGCCAAUGGGCUUAUCCCAGAAGAAGGAGAGAAGCUGCUAGCAGCUCAAAAUGCCUGAAUUUGGAUUACUUUUCCAAACAAGGGCACAGAGGCAGAAUGUGUACAUAGUCAGUUGCCUCUGAAAGUUGUAACACUCACUUCCAGCAUCGACUUCCAGUUAGGAAGUUUUCCUGCUUUAUGGAUUCAUCCCUUCCACAAUUCUUAAAGCUGGAAGUUUUUGUUGUUGUUGUUUUCUGAGUGCCUCUUUCUUGUUCACUCUUAGACUCCACACUUCUCUCUGAGUCAUUGCCUUGUCCAUCCAGGUGCCCACAGCACACACCAACCCACUGCAAACAAGACCUUUUCUUCUGGGAGAAAGCAUCAACAUUUUCAAGCUUGAGUUUUCAGAGUAAGUCAUCUUUGAUGAGAAGGAGGUGAAGACAUCAAGAUAAUUUAAUACUAGAAAAUCAAUAGUUUUGUCUAUGCCUAUGCCUGUCCCAAAAGUCUGGCUACAUUUACAAUGUAAAAUUGUUAUUCUGAAAAUAGGUAAAUCUUACCUACUUUUUCCCAGCCUGAGAUUUAAGUAUCUGCUUUGUUUGUUUGUUUUUGUUGAACAUGUGCUAAGCAGAAAGACCAAACCAUAAAAUUUUACAUUUCAUCCUUGGAAAAUGUAAAUAACAUUGGACUGCAUGCUGGAAGACUCACAGUGUUUAUACAUGCAUGAGUCUAUAUAAAAGGGUUUAUUUUUAUUUGAUAAAAAUGAAGUAUAUUUUUCUCUAAGUAUAUUCUUGGUAUUGAGAAAGAGAAAAAAGCUUUUAAAAUAUUAAAUUCAAAUUUUUCAUAGAAGACUUGUGUUCUAUAUUUAAAGUAAGAUCAUUUAAAAUAGAUGUACAAAUACUGUCAUUGUAUGUGUGUGUGGAGGCCUCCAGAGAAAAUCUGAAAAUGGAAAAGGACUCCUGGUCUUCCCAAAUCAUAUCAGGCUAGAGAAACAAAACAGAAAUGUUGCUGCUGAGGGAUUUUGGGGUGACCUCAAUGCCAAGCCUCAUGCCAUACUGGAAAAUUAUUCAUUUAUUUAGCAAAUAUUUAGUGUCUACUAUGCACCAGGAUUCUGGGUGCUUGGGAUAUGUAAGUCAACCAAAAAAGAGAAAAACUCCUGCUCCUAUGAAACAUAUAUGCUGGAACGGAAAAUAAAAGGUAAUAGGUUUCUCAAAGAACUAAAAUAGAACUAAUAUUUGAUCUAGUUACUGCAUAUCUACCCAAAGAACACCAUUAUAUCAGGAAGAUACCUAAACUUGUAUGUUUAUUGCAGGACUAUUCACAAUAGCAAAGAUAUGGAAUCACCCUAAGUGUCCGUCAACUAAUGAUUGGAUAAGGAAAGUGUUGUAUAUGUGGAAGACUCCUCAGCCAUAAAAAGAAGGAAAUCAUGUUGUUUGCAGCACCAGGGGUGGAACUGGAGGCCAUUAUCUUAAUUGAAACAACUCAAAACCAAGAAGUCAAGCACUGCAUAUUCUCACUCGGAAGUGUGAGCUAAAAACUGUGUACACAUGGAUGUACAGAGUGGAAUCACAGGCUUUGGAGACACAGAGGAGUGGGAAAGUGGGAGGGAGGUGGGGGAUAAGAAAAUUGCCGAUUGAGUACAAUAUACGCUAUUUGGGCAAUGGCCACACUAAAGUCCAGACUUCACCAUUUCCAUGUAACAUGUAACAUAACUGUAACGUGUAACAUAACUGCACUUGUAGCCCUUCCAUUUAUAAAAGUAAACAUUUUCAACAGUAAGAAAUAGCAUGAAUCAGUUAACCUGGUCAUGUGGGAAACAGGGCAGGUGCUGCAGAGGAAGAGGUGGGUCAGGGUGCUGGGCAGGUUGGAAAGGGCGUGGUCGGCUGGGGCCUCAUUGAGAAGCUGAUGUGUGAGCCCAGCUGGAAGGUGGUAAGGGAAGGGGUUCCAGGAGGAGCGGACAGCCGUGAGAGGGGUCCAAGGACAUGCACCCAGGCCCGUGUGCCUGGAGUGGACUAGGAGGUGGGGGGUGACCCAGCCAGCUCAUGGGCUGUUUAGGCCACUGACUUGGCUUCCCGUCUUCACAAAAUGGCAAACAUCAGUGACUCACAUGAUCUGACUUUUAUUUUAAAGCUCACCCACAUUUCACAGCUAUUUUCCCUGACGUGAUCUGGGAGGGCAGAGUGCCGUGGGACUGGCGAGCGCCUCCCUUCUUGCCUGUCGGCAUGGACUUGAAACUGCAGGAGUGCAUGGACUGAAGGACCACACAGACUCACGGCGUGGCUGGGGCCUCCAGGGCCAACUCCUCCUGCAGGACGGGUCCUCACUCAUUCCCAAGAAAUGAAACUAUUCUGAUAACGACUUUCCAAGAAAAAGUGCAAAAUCUUGCUUGAAUGAUUCACUUCCUUCCUUCCUGUGAUAGUUAAUUUUAUGUUUACUUGGCUGGGCCGCAUGGCCUGUGGCUUGGUCAAAUCCCAGUCUAGAUGUUGCUGUGAAGGCAUUUUGUAGAUGAGAUUAACGUUAGAUCCGUCAACUUUCAGGAAAGCAGAGACCCUCCACGGUGUGGGUGGGCCUCAUCCAAUCAGUGGAUGACUUCAAGAGAAAAAGGCUGAGGUCCUCUAAGGAAGAAGAAAUCUGCUUCCCAACAGCCUUCAGACUCAAGCUGCAACACCAGCUCUUCCCUGGGCCUCCAGCCUGCCCUGCCUGCCCUGCAGCUUUUCCACAUGCCAGCACAGUUGUAUGAGCCAGUUCCUUAAAAGCUGUCUCUCUAGAUAUAUAUAGUCGCAUACAGUCAGCCCUCCAUAUCCACGGACUCCACAUUCCUGGAUUCAACCAGCCUUGUUGGAUUAAAAUAAUUAGAAAUAAAAUGUCUGUAUUGAACACCUCAAGACCUUUUUCUUGUCACUAUUUCCUAAAAAAUGCAGUAUUUACAUAGCAUUUACAUCGUAUUAGGUAUUAUAAGUAAUUAUAAUGACAAUUUAAAGUAUACAGGAGGAUGUGCAUAGGUUAUAUGCAAAUACUGCAUCAUUUUAUAUCAGGUACUUGAAUGUUGGUGGACUGUGGUAUCCAUGAGAGGUCCUACAGAGCUCUGCCCCAUGAGGGGACAGGUGCUGCAGAGGAAGAGGUGCGUCAGGGACACUGAAUAUAUGUGCAUUUGUGUUUAUAUGUGUAAUGUGUUUGUGUGUGUGUGUGUGUAAGUUGGGUAUAUUUGUAUAUGCACGUGUUUGUAUAUAUGUGUGGUGUGUGUGUGUGUCUGAGUGUAUAUGCAUGUGCAUAUAUGUGUAUUUGUGUAUGUGUGUUUUUGUACGUGUGUAUUUGUAUAUCCGUGUGUGUUUGUAUAUCUGUGUGUUUUGUGUGUGUUUGUAUACCCAUGUGUGUUUAUGUGUGUUUGUGUAUGUGUAGCUGUGUGGGUGUUUGUAUAUGUGUGUGUGUUUGUGUAUGUGUGUUUGUAUAUCUAUGUGUGUGUAUUAAUAUGUGUGUGUAUUUCUGUGGGUGUGUUUGUGUUUGUGUAUGUGUGUAUGUGUGUGUCUCUGUGUGUAUGUAUGUGUGUGUCCGUGUGUCUGUGUAUGUGUUUAUGUUUGUGUGUUUGUGUGUGUUUGUAUAUCCGUGUGUGUGUCUCUAUGUGUAUAUAUGUGUAUCUGUGUAUGUGUGUGUGUCUCUGUGUGUAUAUGUGUCUUUGUGUGUCUGUGUGUCUCUUUGUGUGUGUGUAUUAUCUGUAUGUGUCUGUGUAUGAGUGGGUGUAUGUGUGUGUGUCUGUGUAUGUGUGUGUCUCUGUACGUCUUUGUGUGUGUGUGUUUGUAUAUCCCUGUGUGUGUGUUUGUGUGUGUCUCUCUGUGUGUGUAUGUGUCUCUCUGUGUAUAUCUGUGUGUGUGUUUAUAUGUCCGUGUGUGUAUGUGUUUAACUGUGUCUGUGUGUUUCUGUGUGUCUGUGUAUGUGUGUGUAUGUCUGUGUGUCUGUGUGUCUCUGUGUGUAUGUGUAUGUGUGUGUCUGUGUAUGUAUGUAUGUGUGUAUGUGUGUGUAGCUCUGUGUGUCUGUGUAUGUCUAUAUCUGUGUAUGUAUAUGUGGGUGUAUGUGUGUAUAUGUGUGUGUAUAUGUGUGUGUAUGUCUGUGUGUAUGUGUGUAUCUGUGCUUGUGUAUGGAUGUGUCUGUGUAUGUGUGUGUCUGUGUAUGUAUGUGUGUCUCUGUGUGUGUGCAGGUGUGUGUGCAUGUGUGUGAGUAUCUUUCCUUCUGGUUGUUUCUCAGGAUAACCCUGGCUACUACACUUCCCUAUGAUUCUUCCCCUGUUAUGAAGCCACCACCUUUGUACUCAGACCUUCUUUUCUGUAUUCUUGAAAAAAAAAAAAUCCUUUUAAGAAGCGAUAACAUUUUGGUAUUUCCUUUUAAAUUUUAAACUGGAAGUGUGAAGGCUCAAAUCCUCAUAACCCCUUCAUUGGAUUUUACAAUAAAGUUGUUAACCAGGCUCCCUGCUUCUAUUCUGCCCGCCACUUGGAAACAGUUUUCCCUCCUUCCACUUCCCAUGCCACCCGGUCCCCAGCCCGUGUCGCUGGCAGCAUUCAUCUCAAGCCUCUCCCCGCGCUGGAUCACAACCUGCUUCUGCCCACACUCAGCAUCUCCCUCUCUUUCUCUCUUUGUACUAACAAGUUUUGUGCAUUCGCUCUUACCAAAAAAGAAAAAAAUAUCUUUUUGAAUGAUAAAUGAGCAUGCACAUUCUUUUUAACAUGUGGCAGAAAUUCUAUCCUAGCAACAGCCACCAAAUCAACUGUCAUCCAGCAAGGAUCUCUGGUCUGUUUGCUUCUGGGAAGAGACUAGAAACAGGCAGACGCUUCCGAUUAGUGUAUGUUCAGGAAUGCAUUAUUAGAUGAAAGGAGAUGGGAGGUUGUGUAGAAAAAUCAUCCCAUUGAAUUAAUUCGUGUGGAGGUUCUGGAUUCUCCUAAGGAUAUUUUGAAAACAUACCACACAUGACAGACAUUUAAAGUACUCAACAAGUGGUCAGUUUAGGUAACUGUGGCACUGGGUGUUCAGGAUAAGGGGUGCCCCAUGGAUCAUCUCAGUUUAUCUUCAGGACAACCUCAUCAGGUAGGUAGGACAGGCCUCAUCUGGAUAUCAGGUAAAGUGAUUAGAAAAGAGUGAGAAAAUAUAGCUCUAUUUAAGAACUAAUGUCGGCAGAUAAAUGCUGGUUUAAACCCAGAUAACCAGAUCAUUUCCUUCAUGUUCUGUAUGCUACAAUGGAUACUGGCAGAAAAACAGUAGGUUCUCAAAGUGGAUAGCAAGAAGUUGGAAAGAACCUUCUUCCAAACUUCCUGCCAAGCCCAGAGGAUUCUGGACUGGAAAGAUGGCCUGGAAAGGGGAAAUCUGGAUUCUCACCGGCCCCUACCUCCCAGCCCUUGAGGAGGUGUGGCACCGCCCCCUCCUCCUGACAGGCCUCCUGGAGAGGCUGUGGUCAGGCCAGCCUGGCCCCACACUGUCACAGCACAGGAACGCCACAAAGCACUUCACAGUCCCCUUCAGGUCAAAGGCUGAUCUCUUACGCUUCGGAAACAUAGAUACAGUUGGGCCUGUGAAGUUGCUGAUUUUUAAGUGUUUGUGACCUACAGAAACGGUUCAAGCCUCAUCUAUCGCUGUGAUGUCUUUCUCCUUUUAAGACAAAGGGCCACAAGAUUUCCUGGGUACAAUUUAGGAAUGUGGGGAGAAGAGUGUGAAAAGUGGCAUUUCUGGAAUAGUCUUUAUCUUAUGGUCACCAUGGAUACUGCGGGUCCCCAUGGUGGGCACUGCUGGCAACUGUGGGGCACCCAGGGUGGGUGCUGUUGAGUACUCUGGGACUCCCAUGGUGGAUAUUGUUGAGUAUUAGGGGUACCUAUGGUGGGUGCUGCUGGUUAUUAUGAGGCACCCGUGGUAGGUGCUGUUGGGUGCUAUGGGGUACCCACGGUGGGAACUGUUGGGUACUGUUGGGUACUGUGGGGUACCCAUGUGGGUGCUACUGGGUAUUUUUAGGUACACCAUUGCAAUUGAGAUGGAAAAAGAAAACAGCCAUGGAUCAUGAGCUCUCGUUUGUCUCCUAAGGAACUUAACAUCUAAUUGGGAAGUUGUGAAAAAAAUAAUCACCAUGAAAUUUCCUCUCCAAUAUUUUGGGGGUAAUAUCACAAAAAGAGAUUUAAGGCAGAAUUCAAUAUGUUGUAGGUUCUACAAUUCAAGUGAGUUGCUGCCACAAAAGCAAGAAGGAUCACCAUUCAGCUGUGGCAACCUCCACGGAGGAAACAAGGGGGGAAAUGACACGUCCUCCAUUCUGCCGGAAGGCAAACUUCCAGCUACAACCGGAGGUACUUUCUCUGCAGGUAGGCACCUCUUGAGUGCAAUGAGAACAAAAGAUAAAUGGAGUAUUGUUUACAUAAAUGACCUUGAACUUGAGUCAUAAUCCACAGACAAUUUUUAAGUAAAGAUAAAGGAAUCUUGGACAAUUUCUACCACUGUGUAACACAUAUACACAAAAAUGCAUCCUUUUAAAAAUACUCAUUACCAGCCAGGAGCGGGGGCUCACAUCUGUAAUCCCAGCACUUCGGGAGGCUGAGGCGGGCGGAUCACUUGAGGUCAAGAGUUCGAGACCAGCCUGGCCAACAUGGUGAAACCCCGUUUCUACUAAAAAUACAAAAAUUAGCCGGGCGUGGUGGCAGGCGCCUGUAAUCCCAGCUACUAUCACUUGAACCCUGAAGGCGGAGGUUGCAGGGAGCCGAGGUUGCACCAUUGCACUCCAGCCUGGGUGACAGAGUGAGACUCCAUCCAAACAAACAAACAAAAAAUACUCAUUACCUUCUGCCUGCAUUCAUCUAUUUCCCUUAUAUGUUUUAGGGUGGCCAGCUUGAAGAAAAUGCUUUUAUGUGCUAAUAUCUUUACAUUGCUGAAGAGCCCAUAACUCCAAAAACUCUCAAGUUACUUUGUAAAUUGCAUAUGAAGACGUCCUAGAAAAUUGCUCUGCAGAAGAGCUGGGGAGAGACCUGUUAAAGUGUGAUAAGUUUCAGCACAUGGAAAACAACUGAGAGCAUGGCUGCUUCCCCUCUCCCUCGCCUUCGUUUCCAUCCGCCCACGCGGCCGCCUACACCCCCACUGCGCUCUGGCAGGAAGGGCCCCUCUGCCUGCGUCAUGCCAGCCACGUCACCACCACAGCCGCUGGCAGCACAGCACCCAGAGGCACUGGGAGUUUCAUAUCCACGUGAGAAAGUUUCAUAUCCACAUUACUUGGGAAGGUUUCUUAACUAGGAAAUCAAUGUCAUCAAAGGGAAGGAAGCUACAGACGGUUCCUUAACAUGAAGGUAAAGGGUCACUACACUGUAUGCCAGUCGGGUAAGAACUGCAGGAUCACAACAUUGAGAACACCAUGAGAAAAAGAGUUUCAGCUCUGAACUAUUGCCCCAUCUAGAGAGACAGACUUUAACUAUUGUUUAACCAACUGGACUCUUCCACUAGUUCCAUUAGCAAGGUGACUUUCAAUGCUGACUCUCAGUAUUUGAAUAGUGUUACCAAGGGAGCAACCGAAAAAUGAUUCUUUCUACAAGCAUACAAUAGGAAGACCAACUAACAUUUGUAUAACGUGCCAAGCCUUACCUGUUCUACGCUGUUUUUAUGCACUUCCUCUCACCCAAUCCUAUGGAAUAUUGCUAUUGGCUGCACAUCCCCAGUGCACAGCCGUAGAUGCAGAGGCUCCUAGAGAGGCUUUUACUGUUUAAACAAACACUACAUGGUGUUUACUCUUUGCCAGACAUUAUUUUAAGCGCUUCCCAAACUUUCACACAUUUAGUCAUCAAACAGCCUGGUGAGGUGGGGCCUGGAAGCUUGAGCACGCAGAGGUUGACGUGCUGUGGUCACAGUGGUCAGUGGUAAAGUUUGAUGUGAACCAGAUCGGCUCAACUGUGUGACUCCACGGCUCAUGCCCGGAGCCCCUACCCGAGGCCAGCACACGCACACCCCAAAUGGAGGGACCAUAUGGUGUUUUCUCACCUGAGACAUGGAAAACAUGCCACAGGUGCCACGUAGAGAUACACAUUUUCCUGUGGUAAAAGGGAGAAUUCAAGGAGUUAUGUCCAGCCUCUAUCUCUUCCUCCUCUUAUAAUGAUGCACUUUAAAAAAUCUAAAGAGAAUUGGUUUACAUGCCUUUGAAACCAAGUCAAGAGAGCAAAAACACAAACUGAGGAAUUCACUUGAACCUAAUUUCAAAUCCGAAGGUUCAUCUCCACCCCUUCUAAUAUCGGACCGGUACUGGAAUGGUUUCGUGGUAUAAUUGAAGAAGCCUCAGGGUAUGUAGUGGGCAACUCAGGGGGCUUCCCUGGACUUGAAGCCAGAGCAGGAAGUUCCAGCUAGGAGCAAUCUCCAUGGGCCCAGUGGGGCUUCAUGACAUGGUGCUCAGGGAUCGUGCUCUGAUUCGCAACCAUUUGGUGUGGUGGGCAGUGGAAUGGACACAUACUGAUCUAGAAAGGUCUCCAGGACACAUCAUCAGUGGAAGAAAGCAAAGGGAAGAACAGUGACUAUGUUAUGCUACCUUUCGGGUAAGCAAAGAGAAGAAUAAUAUAUAGCCAACGUUUAUAGGCAUUGUAUAAGGAAACUCUAAAAAGCCAUCCAAAAAGUGGCCCUCUCUCCUCCUCCUCCCUUUGUGACUGUGUGUGUGACUGUAUGAGUGUGUGUAUCUGUGUGAGUGUGUGUGUGUACAGAUGGAACUGUGGUGAAAGGUGGCAGGGUAGGAAUGAGUCCUCCCAAAGCAUGCCUCGUUAUAUUGUUUUUAUUUCAAGUCAUAUAAAUUAAAAUUUUUCUUUAAAUAUUUUAAGUGAUGUGUUAAGUGAAAAACAGAAGCAAAAGGAAAGCAACACCCUCCAUUGGCACGGCUUAUGUAGGAUAUAAAUGGAAUUCAUGUAGAAUUAAUGUUGGCGUUAAAAUGUCUUAGACCUGGGCUUUCCCUAAGUUCAAUAUAGGUCCAGUUACAAUAUAGGCUUUGCCUCCUGUUAGCUGUGUGACUUUGGUCAAGCCACAUAACCCUUGUGGGGUUAAGUGGUAGUUCAACUUCAGUAUCUUUAAAAUGGAUAAAAAAACACUAACUCCCAGUGUUGUUUCAAGGGUUAAAUGUUCUUUUGUUUCCAACAUUUUUGUGUGAGUGCUUUUUAUGAAUCCCCUAGAGAGUGCAAAAUACGUCAGCCAUUUGGUUCCCAGGGUUAAAUGAGGUUAAAUGGAGAAAUUUCCCUGAUACAGUUGGGAUGUUUGUUCCCCCACAUCUCAUGAGGAAAUGUGAUCCCCAGUGUUGAAGGUGGGGCCUAAUGGGAAGUGUUUGGGUCAUGGGGGCAGAUCCCGCAUGAACGGCUUGGUGCUGUCCCUGUGGUGAUAAGUGAGUUUUCGUUCUGUUACUUCAUGUGAGAUCUGAUUGUUAAAAGGAGCCUGGCACCUUCCUCCCCUUCCCUCUUUCUCCCUCUCACUAUGCGGCACACCAGUUCCCCUUCCUCUUCUGCCAUGAGCGGAAGCUUCCUGAGGCCUCACCAGAAGCAGAUGCUGGUGCCAUGCUUCUUGUACAGCCUCCAGAACCAUGAGCCGGAUAAACCUCUUACCCAGUCUUGGGUAUUCCUUUCAUAGCAACACAAAAUGGUCUAAGACAAUCGCUAAAGUGUCCAGCCCAUGGUACGAGCUUAAUACAUGAAGAUACAGACUCAGAGACUGUUCAUGCCCUCAUGCAAUGUCCAGUUCUGCCACUGGGUGAGUACAAUGUGAGCACUCAGCAUGUAUCUGUGAGUCACUCAUAGCUUUCCCAAAUAAGUAAGAUACUUUAGUUUCACCAUUUUUUUUUUAACCAGACAUUUUUAAUGCAAUUUAUGAUUUACUUGCUGGGCUAUUUAACUAUAGAACAUAGAGUGUCUUAUCAGGUAAGGCUCUGUCAUUCUCUUUGGUCACACAGAGAAUAGGGAGAAGCAGGAUUUGAAUCCAGGCUGUCUCAUGCCAUAGCUUAUGAUUCUUCUUCCAUGUGCCACCUCCAUCCACUUCAGUGUGAAAUAGUUCCAGCCCGAACUCCACUCAGUCAACGCUGCAGGGACUGUUAUUAAUUUCCCAAUAAGUUUUGAACUCAUCCCAUGGCCUCCAAUCCUCUCCAUGGUUUUCUUUCAAUGAAAAAGAAAUAGCCUUCAGCUUUGGGCUGCUCUUCACCUUUCUUCUGGUACAUUUCUCUCAAAUUCUUACGGCAAAUGUUUUGAUGGAUUCCAUUGCUCUCCCUGCCUGACAUCUGGUCUCCCUGCCUUCAGCCUGGCUCUCCUCCAAUUCCUUUUCCUUUAUAAAGCAGACUGGCCUCUGGAAAUGGCAACUCUGGUCAUGCCCCUCCCUUGCUCAAAACCCUGCAAUGACCCUCUCUGCUCUUGGAGGCAGGUCCAAACUUGAUGAUGUGUUGGUAGGAUGGUGAUAGGAUGUUCAUGGGGCUUCCAGCCUCCUCUCCCACACCUGCAGACUCCCCAGUGCACAGAAUGCUCUCAGUCCCUUGAAUGUGCUGGUACUUCUUGCCUCCAAGGCAUUCACACGAGCUCUUACCAGGUGCUUCUGUUCCACCCACACCCCAUUUCUAUCUGGCAUGAAGGUUAAUUUCAUGUGUUAACUUGACUGAGCCAUGGGAUGCCCAGAUAUUUCGUCAAACUUUAUUCUGGGUAUGUACGUGAGGCUGCUUCUGGAAAGACUAGUAUUUGACUCUGUAGAUUGAGUAAAGUGGUUGGCCUCCCUGGUGGGGGCCACUGCUCUCCUGCUUCUCAAGCCUCCAGACUUGGACUGGAACCUACAACACAAGCUUUCCUGGCUCUCCAGCUCUCUGACUGCAGAUCUUGGGACUCGUCAGUGCCUGUGGUCACAUAAGCCAAUUCUUUACAGUAAUACUCUCUCUCUCUCUC